rnacentral:lncRNA from 1 species
AAAGAAACUCGUCUUGUGCUCAACUUGUUUGAAGCCCCCCCAAAAAUGGCAGAUUCUCAAGUAGAACCUGUAGCUAUGACUGGUGUAGUUAACACUGAUAAUUCUCAAAUUCGUCCACCUUCUACUCAUUCCGAACAACUCAAGGUAAUUUGUAAAUAAUCAAUUUCUCUGCAAUCUUAAUGUUUAACUAAGAUUAUAAAUUUUUUGUAAAGUUAUGGCUCCAUUCGUAGCUUUCAAAUUCUGUAAAAAUUAAGUCGAUUAUCCUCAAGUUCAUAUUACCGAGUGGAAGAAACGUUCUUAUUUGAAGGAAGAAGAGAAGAAGGGAGAGGAAGCCAAGGAAGAGAAGAAGAGAGAGGAAGAGAAAAAGAAUGGACAACAAAACCUAAACUCAAGCCUCAUCAUUACAGGAGUGGUGGUUGCUGUGAUUGGAGCUAUAUUUGCUAUAUUUAAGAAUAUUAAAAAGGCAUGAAAUGGUACGUACUGUGUUUUACUUCUUUCAAUAUUUAUGUUGUAACUGUAAAAGCAUGACAUUGUAAAUGUAAAAUCUCGUAAUAAUAUUUGAACUCUCAGUAGUCAGCGUGGGAACGUAUCAGUAUCACACGAAAGCAGGUGAAUAAAUUGGAGAAUUCAGGCUUUUACUGUUAAUUUUCGAUAACUCCUGUUUGAUUCCUUUAUUUUCUAUAUGCACCUUUAUUGAGGGCUUUGACUGAUUUGAUACAGAUUGGAUUUUAG